AUUGAACGCUGGCGGCAGGCCUAACACAUGCAAGUCGAGCGGAUGAAGGGAGCUUGCUCCUGGAUUCAGCGGCGGACGGGUGAGUAAUGCCUAGGAAUCUGCCUGGUAGUGGGGAUAACCGCCGGGAAAGGGCGCUAAUACCGCAUUAGGCCUGGGGGGGGAAGUGGGGGGACUUCCGACCCCAAGCCAUCAAGUUAAGCCUAGGCCGGAUUAGCUAGUUGGUGGGGUAAAGGCUUACCAAGGCGACGAUCGGUAACUGGUCUGAGAGGAUGAUCAGUCACACUGGAACUGAGACACGGUCCAGACUCCUACGGGAGGCAGCAGUGGGGAAUAUUGGACAAUGGGCGAAAGCCUGAUCCAGCCAUGCCGCGUGUGUGAAGAAGGUCUUCGGAUUGUAAAGCACUUUAAGUUGGGAGGAAGGGCAGUAAGUUAAUACCUUGCUGUUUUGACGUUACCAACAGAAUAAGCACCGGCUAACUUCGUG
rnacentral:rRNA from 1 species